rnacentral:tRNA from 1 species
UAGCCUAGUGGUUAAGGCUUUGGAUGACCAAUCCGGAGACGGCGGGUUCGAUUCCCGU